CUGCUCCCCAUUGUUGUAACGUUCUGCAUUUCUUUGUACCAUGUGCAGAAGACCAUGCCACAGCAUGCAACAACUAUACUGAAACACAGAAUCACCACUGUUUUGGUCUACUACUUCAGUAGAGGAUGGUGUCAUCAAGGUAUUGAGGGUCAUCAUCAGAGUCUGAGUCUUGUACUACAUCACCCUCUGCAGCCUGCUGUAUAGACUUCAUAUCUAUCUUGGGCCAAACGAGUUGAACCACUCUUUUACAGAUGUCUUCGAACAUUUCCUGUCUUUCAGUGCCAUCCUCAGAAAUAUCAGAGUACUGAUGCUGGAUAGUUGCCACAUGAGCUUCACUGAACUGAGGGAAGUUUUUCUGAACUAUAUUCUGGACAACACAUUCCAUUCGUUUCUGAAGAUUUCUCCAAUCCUGGAUGGAUGAACACUUGUCGUCAACAUCAUCCAGAUGACGGAAGGAUAUCCUGUUCUUGGCUGCAAAGCACAGGGCCCACAACAUCAUUUUGUUGUCUUGUCGAAGAUGAUGCCGUGUCACGCUCAACUUCUGGACAUUAUCC